AGCGGGUGAAAAGCCCGCUCGCCGGAAGACCAAGGGUUCCUGUCCAACGUUAAUCGGGGCAGGGUGAGUCGACCCCUAAGGCGAGGCCGAAAGGCGUAGUCGAUGGGAAACGGGUUAAUAUUCCCGUACUUGGUGUUACUGCGAAGGGGGGACGGAGAAGGCUAUGUUGGCCGGGCGACGGUUGUCCCGGUUUAAGCGUGUAGGUGUGUGUUCCAGGUAAAUCCGGUUCACUUUAACACUGAGGCGUGACGACGAGGCACUACGGUGCUGAAGCAACAAAUGCCCUGCUUCCAGGAAAAGCCUCUAAGCAUCAGGUAACAUCAAAUCGUACCCCAAACCGACACAGGUGGUCAGGUAGAGAAUACCAAGGCGCUUGAGAGAACUCGGGUGAAGGAACUAGGCAAAAUGGUGCCGUAACUUCGGGAGAAGGCACGCUGACAYGUAGGUGAAGUGAUUUACUCAUGGAGCUGAAGUCAGUCGAAGAUACCAGCUGGCUGCAACUGUUUAUUAAAAACACAGCACUGUGCAAACACGAAAGUGGACGUAUACGGUGUGACGCCUGCCCGGUGCCGGAAGGUUAAUUGAUGGGGUCAGCGCAAGCGAAGCUCCUGAUCGAAGCCCCGGUAAACGGCGGCCGUAACUAUAACGGUCCUAAGGUAGCGAAAUUCCUUGUCGGGUAAGUUCCGACCUGCACGAAUGGCGUAAUGAUGGCCAGGCUGUCUCCACCCGAGACUCAGUGAAAUUGAACUCGCUGUGAAGAUGCAGUGUACCCGCGGCAAGACGGAAAGACCCCGUGAACCUUUACUAUAGCUUGACACUGAACAUUGAGCCUUGAUGUGUAGGAUAGGUGGGAGGCUUUGAAGUGUGGACGCCAGUCUGCAUGGAGCCGACCUUGAAAUACCACCCUUUAAUGUUUGAUGUUCUAACGUGGACCCGURAUCCGGGUUGCGGACAGUGUCUGGUGGGUAGUUUGACUGGGGCGGUCUCCUCCUAAAGAGUAACGGAGGAGCACGAAGGUUGGCUAAUCCUGGUCGGACAUCAGGAGGUUAGUGCAAUGGCAUAAGCCAGCUUGACUGCGAGCGUGACGGCGCGAGCAGGUGCGAAAGCAGGUCAUAGUGAUCCGGUGGUUCUGAAUGGAAGGGCCAUCGCUCAACGGAUAAAAGGUACUCCGGGGAUAACAGGCUGAUACCGCCCAAGAGUUCAUAUCGACGGCGGUGUUUGGCACCUCGAUGUCGGCUCAUCACAUCCUGGGGCUGAAGUAGGUCCCAAGGGUAUGGCUGUUCGCCAUUUAAAGUGGUACGCGAGCUGGGUUUAGAACGUCGUGAGACAGUUCGGUCCCUAUCUGCCGUGGGCGCUGGAGAACUGAGGGGGGCUGCUCCUAGUACGAGAGGACCGGAGUGGACGCAUCACUGGUGUUCGGGUUGUCAUGCCAAUGGCACUGCCCGGUAGCUAAAUGCGGAAGAGAUAAGUGCUGAAAGCAUCUAAGCACGAAACUUGCCCCGAGAUGAGUUCUCCCUGAGACUU
rnacentral:rRNA from 1 species